rnacentral:lncRNA from 1 species
CUCUUUCUACUAAAUUAAACAUUGUAAACUUAUAUCAAUAUGAACUUAGUUUAAGCAUCUUCUUAAAAAAUUCUAUACUAGAAUUACUGUCACGGACACAAAAUACAGACUUGAAAUCUAAUAAAAAGUUCAAGAAGAAGUGGCAGAACUAGAUUAAACAGAUGAGUACAAGAACAACACCAGAAAGGUGAGCUAGAACUCCAAGAGAUGUG